rnacentral:rRNA from 1 species
UAAGGAAUAUUGGUCAAUGGACGCAAGUCUGAACCAGCCAUGCCGCGUGAAGGAUGAAGGUCCUCUGGAUUGUAAACUUCUUUUAUCUGGGACGAAAACGGGAUUUUUAUCUCAAUUGACGGUACCAGAGGAAUAAGCACCGGCUAACUCCGUGCCAGCAGCCGCGGUAAUACGGAGGGUGCGAGCGUUAUCCGGAUUUACUGGGUUUAAAGGGUGCGUAGGUGGGCUUAUAAGUCAGUGGUGAAAUCUCCGAGCUUAACUUGGAAACUGCCGUUGAUACUAUAGGCUUUCAAUUAUCUGGAGGUAAGCGGAAUAUGUCAUGUAGCGGUGAAAUGCUUAGAUAUGACAUAGAACACCAAUUGCGAAGGCAGCUUACUACAUAUAAAUUGACGCUGAGGCACGAAAGCGUGGGGAUCAAACA